rnacentral:rRNA from 1 species
CCCUUAGACGUUCUGGGCCGCACGCGCGCUACACUGACGAAGGCAACGAGCUUUCCUUUACCGAAAGGUACGGGUAAUCUUUUGAAACUUCGUCGUGCUGGGGAUAGAUCCUUGCAAUUAUUGAUCUUAAACGAGGAAUUCCUAGUAAGCGCAAGUCAUCAACUUGCGUUGAUUACGUCCCUGCCCUUUGUACACACCGCCCGUCGCUACUACCGAUUGAAUGGUUUAGUGAGGCCUUCGGAUCCGCAACUCGUUUUGUGGAGAAGUUGGACAAACUCANUNAUUUAGNGGAAGUAAAANUCGUANCA